GCUGGGCAGGGAUGCUGGUGCAUCCGGCGGUCUCAUAAGCCGCAUCAGGCAGGUUCGAUUCCUGCGCCCAGUA
rnacentral:tRNA from 2 species